UACGUAGGGGGCAAGCGUUGUCCGGAUUUAUUGGGCGUAAAGAGCGUGUAGGCGGCCGUGCAGGUCCGUUGUGAAAACUCGAGGCUCAACCUCGAGACGCCGAUGGAAACCAUUUGGCUAGAGUCCGGAAGAGGAGAGUGGAAUUCCUGGUGUAGCGGUGAAAUGCGCAGAUAUCAGGAAGAACGCCCGUGGCUAAGGCGGCUCUCUAGUACGGUACUGACGCUGAGACGCGAAAGCGUGGGGAGCGAACAGG
rnacentral:rRNA from 1 species